CGGAAGUGCUGAUGGGGAGUCAGUAGUAAGGCUGCGGGGCGCCGGCGGGCGCUUCGGGCGGGCCGGGCCGGGCCGGGUCGGGUUGCUGUGGGGGCCGGGGGCACGGCCUGGGCCUUGAGUAGGUGUGCUGAGGCGGGUCCUGGCGCCGCUGCCGGCGGGCAGGGGCUGGGCAGGCUGCGGAAGGUGUCCGUGUCCCUUCACGAGAGGUAUCGGCCGCCAGUGCCCCGAGGAGGGUCUGCCCGGCGGAGGCGCUGCCCGGCGGAGGCGCUGCCCGGCGGAGGCGCUGGGGAGUACCUCGUCGCAGCCCUAAAUCGGAUCCCUCUGUGGGGUUAUUCAGAAUUAAUUCUCAUGUCAGCAGAAAGCUCAACUAUCACAGUUCGUCUUGUUCGCUCUUUUGAACACCGGAAUUUCAGACCUGUGGUGUAUCAUGGAGUUAACUUGGAUCAGACAGUAAAGCAGUUCAUUACUUUUGUGCUGAAGGAUGUGUCUUCAAGAACAGGUCUUCCUCCUCCUUUUAAAAAUUACAAGUAUGAUACAAUGAAGAUUAUUCACCAAGCACACAAGUCUAAGACGGGUGAACUUGUAGUGAGUUUGGAAGAUGAUGACAAACUGAUUUUGAAAGAAGACAGUACGCUGAAAGCAGCUGGAAUAGGCAUAAGAGGCAAUGCAGUUCAAGAGAGGGACUGUUGACAUACUAAGUGUUGAAUUAGAAAUUACAUUGUCCAGAGCUGCCUUCUUUCAAAAAGCAAAUGAGACUGAAUUAGCAUUCUUCUGUGAGGAAGAUUACAGAAACUACAAAGCUAAUCCUGUUUUGGCCUGGUGAAGAUCCCAAGAGAUUGUUUUGUUUUCCCAUACCUGUUGUAAAUUUUCCUUAUUCUGCUUAAUGAGAUUUUUCUUAAAGAUCAAUAAAUCCUAGAGGAUUGCUUUGCAAACAGUGCAAUUCUUUUCCUAUAGAAAU